rnacentral:lncRNA from 1 species
GUGUUAUGAGGCUUAACAGCUGCAUUCUGCCUCCUUCAGGACAGCAGUGCAGCUGUGUGUAAGAGCUGCUGGAAAGACAGGCAUCUGGUCCACCCCAUGUCCACCACAUCAUAGACACUCAGCCCCUUGACAGGAAUCCCACUUGACAUCUGCCACACGUGUAUCCAGAGUGGAAAUCAAGCUGUUACUCUUCAAAAUUUGUAAAAAACCUGGAAAUGUCUAUAAAAUGACAGAAGACUCAGUUAAGAAGCAAGUAUUGCCUCAUUUGGAGGACAAUAGCAUGAAUAUUAUAAACAGAAUCAGAAAACUGAGGCAUGUCUCCCAGGAAGUUAGUAGAAUGUUGCUUACUAACAAGUGUAAUGGAAGAUCCAAGUUUCUACAGUAUAAGAGAAGUACUUAGAUGUUAUGGAGGAAGGGUGAUAAUUUGCCUGAAUCUGAUACUUAGAAUGUGUGCCCAAAUAGUUAC